rnacentral:rRNA from 1 species
GACGAACGCUGGCGGCGUGCUUAACACAUGCAAGUCGAACGGAAAGGCCCUGCUUUUGUGGGGUGCUCGAGUGGCGAACGGGUGAGUAACACGUGAGUAACCUGCCCUUGACUUUGGGAUAACUUCAGGAAACUGGGGCUAAUACCGGAUAGGAGCUCCUGCUGCAUGGUGGGGGUUGGAAAGUUUCGGCGGUUGGGGAUGGACUCGCGGCUUAUCAGCUUGUUGGGGGGGUAGUGGCUUACCAAGGCUUUGACGGGUAGCCGGCCUGAGAGGGUGACCGGCCACAUGGGGACUGAGAUACGGCCCAGACUCCUACGGGAGGCAGCAGUGGGGAAUAUUGCACAAUGGGCGGAGGCCGGAUGCAGCAACGCCGCGUGCGGGAUGACGGCCUUCGGUUUGUAAACCGCUUUCGCCUGUGACGAAGCGUGAGUGACGGUAAUGGGUAAAGAAGCACCGGCUAACUACGUG